rnacentral:rRNA from 1 species
UACGUAGGUGGCAAGCGUUGUCCGGAUUUACUGGGCGUAAAGAGCGCGCAGGCGGUCGUUCAAGUCGAGUGUGAAAGCCCCCGGCUCAACUGGGGAGGGUCACUCGAUACUGAUCGACUCGAAGGCAGAAGAGGGAAGCGGAAUUCCCGGUGUAGUGGUGAAAUGCGUAGAGAUCAGGAGGAACACCGGUGGCGAAGGCGGCCCACUGGGCCAGCACUGACGCUGAGGCGCGAAAGCUCGGGGGAGCGAACGGG